rnacentral:rRNA from 1 species
CCUACGGGAGGCAGCAGUGGGGAAUAUUGCACAAUGGGCGCAAGCCUGAUGCAGCCAUGCCGCGUGUGUGAAGAAGGCCUUCGGGUUGUAAAGCACUUUCAGUGGGGAGGAAGGCGUUAAGGUUAAUAACCUUGGCGAUUGACGUUACCCGCAGAAGAAGCACCGGCUAACUCCGUGCCAGCAGCCGCGGUAAUACGGAGGGUGCAAGCGUUAAUCGGAAUUACUGGGCGUAAAGCGCACGCAGGCGGUCUGCCAAGUCGGAUGUGAAAUCCCCGGGCUCAACCUGGGAACUGCAUUCGAAACUGGCAGGCUAGAGUCUUGUAGAGGGGGGUAGAAUUCCAGGUGUAGCGGUGAAAUGCGUAGAGAUCUGGAGGAAUACCGGUGGCGAAGGCGGCCCCCUGGACAAAGACUGACGCUCAGGUGCGAAAGCGUGGGGAGCAAACAGGAGUAGAUACCCUAGUAGUC